GCCUGGGUGGCUCAGUUAAGCGUCUGACUUUGGUUCAGGUUGUGAUCUCACAGUUUGUGGGUUUGAGUCCCACGUCGGGCU
rnacentral:tRNA from 1 species